AAAUGAUUUAUCCGAGAAAUAGGACAGUAAAUAUGAUUAAGAAAGGAUCGAAAGUAUUGAUUUUUCAUAGGAUGCAAUAAAGGAAAAAAAAACCCAACCAACAACAUCCAUUGUAAGCAAAUGAACAAAUGCUUAGCAAAUGCAGAAGAUGAAACACAGGGAGGACAGACAGGCCCCUACACAGAAAGUGCAGGGAAGAGACCUUGGCUUUUGAUGUAGUGACCCAUGUGGCACUGCCAGCUGACAGUUGAGGUGAACCGAGUCUGCCACACAUUCAUAUUCCAAGACCUAGCUGGAAAUCAAUGCAAUAAUUUUUGCCAAAAGCCUAAUUCAUUUUAAUGUAUUUUAAGUAGAAAAAACUCACAAUGGUUUAGAGUGGUGUGUGUGUGUGUGUGUGUGUGUGUGUGUGUGUGUGUGUGUGUUACACUAAGCUCAAUUCUUGCAGUGGUUAUAUUUUGGUGACUUGCUGUCUCUCCUUUUUAGUCUUUUGAAACUGAAAAAGGUUUAUUUAAAUAACUAUUACUUCACAUAAACAAACAAACAUACAGACAUCAUUAAGUACCUUUACCGCCCCACCCUAAAGGAUUACUGUUAGCACACUAUAAUGGUACAGCAUGCAUUACGAUGCAAACAAUACUGAAACAGGUCUGCUCAGAGCAAGUGUGCAUUAAACAGAUCGAUACAUAGCUAUCCGUUCAUCCCCCACCAGCACCCGAAGUCUCCACUGAGUGAUAUUUUUUCUGUUUCAUUUGACAGAGGCCGUGUUUUGAUGAAAAGGUUAAUGAGUGGGACUUUUGCAGGCAGAAAAGCCAGAGGAAAACUCUUUCAAGGCAUGCCACACACAGGCUCUGGGAGAAAGUGCCAAUCAUGGAGGGAGAAAAAAAGAGAAGGGAGACACGGGUGGACCGCAGACAACAAAGGGAAUAUACAGGCACCUCUGUACACCCAGCUAGAAAGAUGAAGUGGAAACCAGAAUGGAUGGAGUCUGCAGGAUCCUGGUCUGGCUGGGAGGAAAUCGAGCUGCAGGGAAGACUGCAACCAGACCAGCUGCCCGGAAGAAGCAGAAACCAGCUGAGCUACCUGGAAGAGUCACUCGGAAAGGACAUUCUCCAACUUGCUGAGCUGCCUGCAGGCUGUGCAGUGUGCUUCAGGUUUCUAGGUUUGUAAGCUGUCAUUCAUGCUGGGGUGGGCCUUGAUGAUACAGCUGUCUUUGAGUCAUUUCUGCUCCUGUACAUGACCCCU